rnacentral:misc_RNA from 1 species
CCUUGAAGCCCUCCAAUGGAACCUGAAAACCCAUAAUUUGGUGUCUAGUGUCUUCGAUAACCAAUUUGAUACAUUUUAAAUAUGAGAAGACUAAACCUAAACCAAUUAAAAUUUAUCAAGUACAACACAAAGUGAUCGAUUUCGUAUAUAGUUGUUAGUAGCAAGUAGGCCUCCACAUAAAAACCUACAGAAAAAAAAAAAAAUAAAACCUACCUGAAUUUCAUAGAGUUCAACAGUUUUGCAGGUUCAGGUUGAAAAAUAUUCAAAAUUGGAUUUCUUGGGUGGUUUUGAUUUAAAGGUCUAAGAACCUGUAAUAACCCAAACUGAUAUGAGAAGUAAAGCUUACUUAUAUUUCUACACUUCUCUGAAGGUUACAGACACAUGUAUAAAUAGGGAGAAACCCUACUUUUAUCCUAAAACAAUACUUUCUUUCCAGUUUCCACCUGUAGUCCUUGAUUAUCAAAUCCUCCUAAUUUAUCUGCUCGAUCUUCAGAAGCUUGCAGCUCAAUCAAUCUCCUUAAGCCUCCCCAUCUGCUCUAAUACUCAUUUCCUCAACCACCCUCUUCACAUGUAUGAAGAAACUAUCAACACCAGUCACCGGUAAACCAGUUUUGCAUGUACGGACUAGGGGGGGAAACUAUCAUAUUAAAAAUGAUGCAACUAUAAGAACUCGUCUUCUCUCUAUCUAUAGGUUUACACUGAAAUACCAUGGCUAGUU